UAUAGAAGCCUUUAGGCAUCUAUAGAGCUCUAUAGGCUUAUAGGCAUCCCUAUAGGUCACCUAUAGAAAAUGUUCCAAUUGCCUAUAAAAACCUAUAGGUUUCCUAUAGGAACCUAUAGGUUGGCCUAUAGGCCAGGCCUAUAGACUUUUUUUGUAAGGGCAUAUAGCCUUUUAGAAAAUGAUGAAAGGUUUACAAAAUAUUCAAGUUUUUCUCUUU